rnacentral:lncRNA from 1 species
CGGUGUCUUCAUUCUCCUGUGAUGGGCGUCUCAGUGGUGUCCAGUUGGGGUGACUAGGAAUGUUGCUGCAGGGCACAUUUGUGUCGUGUUUAUGUGGGGCACGUGCCAGGAUCAGAGUUGCUGGGCUGGGUGUGUUCUCGUACAAAUGAGGACUGUUUUGAUUCCAGCCCUCCCCCUGCCACGUCAUGGGAUGUCAUGUAGACACUCACUUAACCAGACCUCUUGGGUUUGGUCUAAGGGCUGUUCCCAAUUUUCCCCAGUACUGGAAAUAUCGCUGAGCUGUGCAUUGCUACGCCAAAGCUUUGCAGAAUGACAAGGCCAGGGGUAUUUGAGGGCCCUUGAUGCCCACCACCAUCUGCCAGUGCCACCGGGUAUUCCCCAGCAGCCAGCUCCAGAGGGCUCUUGCAUGCUGAUUUCUCUUCAAAUCUUCCACUUCUAGCUACAAAAUUAAGAGCCACUCGCACUCUGAACUGAGCCUGGAUAAAUGAAUGCACUGAGCUUCUCUGAAAGGGAAGAGAGUUCCGAGGAGCUGAGGCCCCUAUGCUCGUGUUGCUGAGAGUGGAUCUGAAAAGUCCUCAUCACAAGAAAGAAACAUGUAUACCUAUGAGUGGUGAUGGAUGUCAACCAGACUUCCUGCGCCCCCCAGUACAUAGUUGUGUACUUUUAGUUGCGGCACGUGGGAUGUCACCUCAGCGUGGCCUGAUGAGUGGUGCCAUGUCCACGCCCAGGAUCCGAACCAGAGAAACCCUGGGCCGCCGAAGCGGAGCACGUGAACUUAACCACUGGGCCACGGGGCCGACCCCUACAGCGGAUGGAUCUUAAAAACAUGAUGCUCAGUGAAAGAAGCCAGCCAUAAAAUAAAAGGCCAC